CGGGCUCGCGCGCGCGCGGUGACAGAAGAGAGUGAGCACACGGCCGGGCGUGACGGCACGUGCCGUCGCGGCCGCGUGCUCACUGCUCUUUCUGUCAUCCGCUGGUCCGGGCCUC